AUAUGGUAUGGAGUAUGCUUUACAUACCUGACUGUCAACCUUCAAUACUAGUCCCAAAUGGACUUCUCGUCUUUUCGGAUUACUUAUCUACAAUGAACAUAUAUAGCAAUCUAGUAUUAGCGACCAAACGUCACAAUUCAAUUAUUUGAAUUCACCAAACUAGUGGUUAAGUAGUAAGCCUUAAUUACACCAUAAAGGGUGUCACUUUAACCUUCUUAUACUCCAAUUACAUUUACAUGUCAUGCAUAUUCAUACAACAUCCUCCAAUAUCAAGUUUGGAUUCAUUUAUCCUUCCAACCAAUCCAUUAAAUCAAAUUGAGCCAUAAACAUAAAUAAUCAUCAAUUCAAUAGUAUAUCACUAUAUCCACCUUCCAUAACUCAAUUACCAUAUCCACCUUCCAUAAUUCAAUA
rnacentral:lncRNA from 1 species